rnacentral:rRNA from 1 species
CAGCCGCCACGGGAAUACGAAGGGUGCAAGCGUUAAUCGGAAUUACUGGGCGUAAAGCGCACGUAGGCGGAUCGAUCAGUCAGGGGUGAAAUCCCAGAGCUCAACUCUGGAACUGCCUUUGAUACUGUCGAUCUGGAGUAUGGAAGAGGUGAGUGGAAUUCCGAGUGUAGAGGUGAAAUUCGUAGAUAUUCGGAGGAACACCAGUGGCGAAGGCGGCUCACUGGUCCAUUACUGACGCUGAGGUGCGAAAGCGUGGGGAGCAAACAGGAUUAGAGACCCCAGUAGUCCCUGUCUCUUAUAC